UGGCAAUGAUAUUGCGUGGUCCAAUUACGGUCCCGAAUGGAGAAAGUUGCGCAAAUUUUUUGUGGGCAAGAUGAUGAGUAACGCAAGCCUUGAUGCUUGUUAUGCUCUAAGAAAACAAGAGGUUAAAAAUACUAUCAGGGAUUUGUACAACAACGACAACAAAAUUGGUAAGCCCAUUGACAUUGGUGAAUUGUCGAUUUCAACCUUGGUAUGUGCUAUGCAGAACAUGCUGUGGGGUGAAGCGCUUGAAUUAAAAGAGAAACGGACCACUAAUCUUGGGGUUGAGCUAAAAUUUAAGCUUGCAGAACUCAUGGUGCUACUGGGAACACCGAAUAUUUCGGAUAUCUUUCCAAUGCUUUCAUGGCUCGACAUACAAGGUAUAGAGAGGAGAGCAAAGAAGAUUUCACUCUGGUUUGAAAAUGUUAUAAAUUCUACUGUUGAAAAGUAUAGAAGCAAGGACUUUAUUGUUGAAGGUAAACAAAGAGCAGGGGAAAAUUUUGUAGGAUCAAAUAACAAGAACUUCUUGCAGUUACUAUUGGAGCUUCAAGAAAAUGAAGACGGUUCUUCCUCAAUUAGCAUGAACCAAUUUAAGGGCGUGCUCGCGGUAUGUUAAGCAACUAGCCACGAACAGUUAUACAAGCACAGUUGUAUAUUUGCAUGAGUGACGCUUCUCAACUUUUUUUAAUUUUUUAAGUUAAAGUUUUAUUGUAAUCUUUUGAACAGGAUAUAAUUACGGGUGGAACCGACACCACAACUACGAUGGUGGAAUGGACAAUGGCAGAGUUGAUGCAGCAUCCACAAGUAAUGAAGAAAGUUCAGGAAGAAUUAGCUCAAGUUGUGGGCAUGGACAGUUGUGUUGAAGAAUUUCAUUUGCCUAAACUGAAAUAUUUAGAUGCUGUGGUGAAAGAAUCGUUUCGUCUGCAUCCUGCAUUGCCUUUAUUAGUACCACGCAGAGCAAGCGAGAGUGGCAGCAUUGGUGGCUAUACCAUUCCCAAAGAUACAACUCUUAUGUUGAAUGUUUGGGCUAUCCACAGGGACCCUCAACUUUGGGAUAAUCCCUUAGAAUUUCGACCCGAGAGGUUUCUGAAUGUUGGUAUCGAGAGUAAGUUCGAUUACUCAGGUAACAAUUUUCAGUACUUGCCAUUUGGUUCCGGUAGAAGGAUGUGUGCUGGGAUUCCUCUAGCUGAGAGGAUGCUGAUGUUUGUUUUGGCUUCGUUAUUGCACUCAUUCGAGUGGGAAUUGCCAGCUGGCACAAAGCUAAACUUAUCUGAAAAAUUUGGGAUUGUCAUUAAGAAAAAAGAGCCUUUGGUUGCUAUUCCAACACCAAGACUAUCCAAUUCAGAGCUCUACCAUUAAGACAGAAUGAUUGUGAUGAUUUUGUUAGUAUCGGAAGAUUUGUAUGUUAUUUCAAGUUCAAUCGUAAUAAAAUAUUUUAAUAAAAGUCCUCCGUUGCUAAUUUUUUUUUUUCAACGGCAUAAUCUGUCAUCGUGCUUGUGUUUGGAGCUACUUUGGAAUGAUUAUUUUUGAAUUACAAUUUAUAAAUAUUUACGUUUUAAAUUUUUUAUAAGAGUCUAAAUUUAUACACGUUCAGUAAAAGAUUCCCUAAAAGCUUUACAAUUCAAAAUUCUAUUAAAAGUAUAGAUGAAACUUUUAUACCUACUAAUUUUUUGGUCUAUUCUACGAGUUUAAAGAGGAGAUAUUUCUAGAGUUAGCAAAAAGUGUUACAUGAUUGUUUUCGCGUAAUGUCAUUUUUUAUUGUGUUAAAUUUAGUUUGACUCAAAUAUGACCCAUUUAAUAAUCGUGUCAAAAUAUUGAAAUUUGAACUCAACACAGAAAAUAAAUGGGUGACCAGUCACACCCAUUUAAUAAUUAGGUAACCAUGUCACUUAAUACGACAUAACCCAAUAACUCGUUUAAUACAUAUUUAACAUAAUUUAUAUUGUACAUUGUACACCCUUUUGUCAUAAAUUACACUAUUUUAUAUUUCUAAAUAAUAUUAUAUAUUGAUAUUGUAUAAAAAAAAUCAAUAAUCUCAAAAUUUGUACACCUCCUAACUUUUAAAAAGAAAUAAAAAACUAAUUAAUUAAUGUUUAUUUUAUUCAUUAAUAUAUCAUAAUCCUACAUGUGUUUUAUUUGUUAUUUUUUUAUUUAAAAAGAUAGGAAGGUGGAUGAAACUCAAAUAAAUUUUUAGCCUAUCUUGAUCUUUCAAGUUUCUUAUUUAAGUGGCCAGCUAAAGAAAAUUACUUGAAGCUACUCCAUCAAUUUAACAAAUUUUAUUUAUUUAUUUAAUGGAGGUGUAGAAAAUAAAAGUAUCUGCAAGCACAUUGCAAUAGUGAAAGCAAUGUACCGGUGUUGCAACAUAACUGAACCUUGAUAACCGAUCACAUAUUUUAAGUUUUAACAUUGGUAGUUCACGGAUCGGUUUCUACUUCCACGAACAAUUAUUGAAGGAAAUGAGUUUUUUUUUUAAUGAAUAUUUAUAGACCCCGAUUAAAUAUUCGAAUAUAUAAUAAAAGAGAAACUGACAUAGAAAUGAGAAAGAUAUUUGGAGGAGGCAAAAAAAAAAAAAAAAAAAAUGCAACAGAGAAUUAGAUCAGUAACACAAAUAACUAAUUAAUUCAUCUAUACAUCAUAAUCCUAUUUGUAUCUUCUUCCUUCUUCUAAUUUACAUAUAAAUUUGGUUAGAUAAAACAUAUUUUAAUACUCGGUCACAAGCGGUGGAUAUAGAAAAUUAAUUUAGAGGGGGUAAUACCAUAACGAAAAAUAAUGAUUCAUAAUUAAAAUCAACCCCAACAUCAAAACUUAUUUACAAGAUUACGCCCAGUCAAAGGUAAAUUUUCUUAAAAACUAAUAUGAAAUUAAAUAAAUUUAACUUUUAGUGGGUUCAAGUGCCCACGCAUUCUGAACGUAGAUCCACCCCUGGCCCCGACUGAAGCAUUUUUUUACAAUAUGUACUCAGUUUAUCAGCAGGAACAACCUUCCACUUUAAAUUAAAAUUUUCACUUAAAAAUGAUUAAUGUUAAUGAGGUUAGCAACAAAAAUGAGUUUAAUUAGAGAAUAUUAUAAGAGAAAUUAUAUUUUUUGACUUUUAAUAAAUUAAAAUAUAUUAAAAUAUUAUUAGUUGGUGGUGGUUUCACGUCAGAUUAAGACGUGACACUUUACUUAUGAGGUCGAGACAAUCGACUUAAAUUAUUUCAAUGCAUUUAAAAUUUAUACUAAUGGCUAUUAUUCUUUAUCCAAAUUAAUACGAUAAUUAAUAACAUACAAUUGAAAUAAUUAAUAUUAUCACUUGGCAAUAAAUAAAGCUCUUGUGCUUGAAUCGUCACACAUGAUCAUUUCAUUCCUUUAUUUACUUUGCUAACACAGAUUUUGAGGCAUUAAAACUAAAUAAUAAUUGAAUAUGGCUUUGUGCGUCGCUGACGCCAGCAGCAAGGGGACCUCAAUUAUCACUUUUUAAGUUGAUUAUUGCAGUGUUUUUAUUUUUUAUAUUAAAAUUAAGUCGAUUUGUUAUAAUAAACUUAGUUGAGUUUAAUGGUAUUACUACAAAAAUUGAAUAGUCAUUAAAUAUUUUAAUAUUUUUAUCGCAAUCAUUGCUGUAGCAUUUAUUUAUUGUAUGAUGAAUUUUAAAAUUUAUAAAAUUAUUUGUUAUUUAAUUACCCCAGAUGCUACAUCACCUGAAACUUAAUAAAGGGAACGUAGCAUUGCCAUUACUCAACAUUCACUCUUAUGACUUUUUUUUUUUUUUUUGUUUUAUCUACUAGGUAUUCUGGGGAGGGCCCCAACUGUGGGAGGCACCUUUAAGCCCAUACCACAAUUCAGAUUAGAAGUCCCCGCUCGAACCAGGAGGCACAUGUUCUCCCAACAAAGACGACUUCCCUGCGACUCGAACUGUGAAGCAAACCCAGUCAAACCACUUAAAGGGACUCCAUUACCAGUGGAGCCAACACUUUAUUGGUACUCUUAUGACUUUAUGACAUUAGAAUUAAAAUCUUUCGUACAUUUAAUUUGUUUGCUUCCAAAUUAAAUCUUUAAUAAAUAUUUUUUUCACAUUAUCAUGAAUGGACAAAACUCCAACGAAAAUAACUACACAAGAACAAUCUAUGCUAGUAUUAUAUGCCACGAUAUCUAUAACUUUGUCAGGAUCGAUCGGUCUAAUUUUUACGCAGAACUUUUUGUCAAUCGACAAACACCUCACAGAGCUUGUCACCUGUCAGCCGCAUUAUUACGAUGUAAAAUUGCACCGGAAUAUCUUGAAUUAUUAGUAGAAUAACGAAGACUAUUUGGAGCAAUAAAAACAAAUAACGCAGAUGAAAACAAUGGCUGAAAUUAUGUAAGUGAGCCCCAAAGUUUUUGCUAUUUCCUGGAAAUCCCCAAUUUGAAUGGACUAGAGGGAGGCACGUAAGAAAUACAUUUUCUUCCUAGACAAUGACAGCUAUGCAUCAAGCCACGGUGGCGUCAGUAUUGAAAUUAAGGUGUAAUUAUUCAGCCAAUGAGCCUUACACAUCAAGAUAAAAGUCAAGAAAAUGGAAAUUUGGCCGUUUCCAUUUUGAAGUUAAAAACAAAGUUUCUUUCGUUUUGUGGGCGACUCGACUGAUCAGUUGGUGGACACCUCUAUUGAAAAUAUCUCUGACAUUUCACUCGACAAACUUGUUAAUACAAAAAAUCUAUGAUUUUAUCGUCUGUAUACUGUAGAAAAAAAUUGUCUAUACAUCUGUGGUAUAGAUUUUAUGUAUUUCAUUACAAAAUGCUGGCCGUUAGAACUCUAUCUACAUCUAUUUAUAAGAUAUUUCGUUAUAAUUCAUUCUGAAACACUAAAACUAAAUAAUCGAAUAUGGCUUUCCCGAUCGAUGAUGCCAGCAGCAAUGAGACUGCAAUUAUCACUUGUUUAGUUUCUGUGCUUGCCGUGGUUUAUUUCGCAUGGAAUGUGAAAAAAUCAAGGAAAGCAAAUGCUACACUGCCACCAGGACCUCGCGGCUUGCCUGUAUUCGGAUACCUCCCAUUUCUCGGAAAUACUGACUUACACAAGAAGUUCACGGAAUUAUCUGGAGUUUAUGGUCCGAUCUUCAAGCUUUGGCUUGGAAAUAAAUUGUGUGUAGUGGUGAGCUCACCUUCCCUAAUUAGACAAGUGGUUCGUGAUCAAGAUACAACAUUCGCGAACCGUGACCCACCGAUGGCUGCACUAGUGGUCUCCUAUGGUGGCAAUGAUAUUGUACGGUCCAAUUACGGUCCCGAAUGGAGAAAGUUGCGCAAAUUUUUUGUGGGCAAGAUGAUGAGUAACGCAAGCCUUGAUGCUUGUUAUGCUCUAAGAAAACAAGAGGUUAAAAAUACUAUCAGGGAUUUGUACAACAACGACAACAAAAUUGGUAAGCCCAUUGACAUUGGUGAAUUGUCGAUUUCAACCUUGGUAUGUGCUAUGCAGAACAUGCUGUGGGCCUGUGGGGUGAAGCGCUUGAAAUAAGAGAGGAAGGGAUCACUAAUCAUGGGGCUGAGCUAAAAUUUAAGCUGGCAGAACUCAUGGUGCUAGCGGGAACACCGAAUAUUUCAGACAUCUUUCCAAUGCUUUCAUGGCUCGACAUACAAGGUAUAGAGAGGAGAGCAAAGAAGAUUUCACUCUGGUUUGAACAUAUUAUAAAUUCUACUGUUGAAAAGCAUAGAAGCAAGGACUUUAUUGUUGAAGGCAAAGAAAGAGCAGGGAAAAAUUUGGAAGGAUCAAGGAACAAGAACUUCUUGCAGUUACUAUUGGAGCUUCAAGAAAAUGAAGACGGUUCUUCCUCAAUUAGCAUGAACCAAUUUAAGGCCGUACUCGUGGUAUGUUAAGCAACUAGCCGCAAACAGUUAAACAAGCACAGCUGUAUAUUUUGCAUGAGUGAUAUUUUCAACUUUUUUUUUAAUUAGAAUUUUAUUGUAACCUUUUGGACAGGAUAUAAUUACGGGUGGAACCGACACCACAACUACGAUGGUGGAAUGGACAAUGGCAGAGUUGAUACAGCAUCCACAAGUAAUGAAGAAAGUUCAGGAAGAAUUAGCUCAAGUUGUGGGCAUGGACAGUUGUGUUGAAGAAUUUCAUUUGCCUAAACUGAAAUAUUUAGAUGCUGUGGUGAAAGAAUCGUUUCGUCUACAUCCUGCAUUGCCUUUAUUAGUACCACGCAGAGCAAGCGAGAGUGGCAGCAUUGGUGGCUAUACCAUUCCCAAAGAUACAACUCUUAUGUUGAAUGUUUGGGCUAUCCACAGGGACCCUCAACUUUGGGAUAAUCCCUUAGAAUUUCGACCCGAGAGGUUUCUGAAUGUUGGUGUCGAGAGUAAGUUCGAUUACUCAGGUAACAAUUUUCAGUACUUACCAUUUGGUUCUGGUAGAAGGAUGUGUGCUGGGAUUCCUCUAGCUGAGAGGAUGCUGAUGUUUGUUUUGGCUUCGUUAUUGCACUCAUUUGAGUGGGAAUUGCCAGCUGGCACAAAGCUAAACUUAUCUGAAAAAUUUGGGAUUGUUAUUAAGAAAAAAGAGCCUUUGGUUGCUAUUCCAACACCAAGACUAUCCAAUUCAGAGCUUUACCAUUAAGACAGAAUGAUUGUGAUGAUUUUGUUAGUAUCGGAAGAUUUGUAUGUUAUUUCAAGUUCAAACGUAAUAAAAUAUUUUAAUAAAAGUCCUCCGUUGCUAUUUUUUUUUUUCAACGGCAUAAUCUGUCAUCAUGCUUGUGUUUGGAGCUACUUUGGAAUGAUUAUUUUUUAAUUACAAUUUAUAAAUAUUUACAUUUUAAAAUUUUUAUAAGAGUCUAAAUUUAUACAUGUUCAAUAAAAGAUUCCCUAAAAAUUUUACAAUUCAAAAUUCUAUUAAAGUAUAGAUGAAACUUUUAUACCUACUAAUUUUUUGGUCUAUUCUACGAGUUUAAAGAGAAUAUAUUUUUAGAGCUAGCAAAAAGAGGUACUUGAUUGUUUUCGCGUUAUGUCAAUUUUUUUAUUGUGUUAAAUUUAAUUUGACCCACAUAUGACCCAUUUAAUAAUUGUGUCAAAAUAUCAAAAUUUAAACUCGACACGGAAAAUAAAUGGAUGACCAUACACACCCAUUUAAGAAUUAGGUAACUAUGUCACUUAAUACGAUAUAACCCAAUAACUCGUUUAAUACAUAUUUAACUUAAUUUACAUUGUACAUUGUACAACCUUUUAUCAUAAAUUACACUAUUUUAUAUUUCUAAAUAAUAUUAUAUAUUGAUAUUAUAAAAAAAAAUCAAUAAUCUCAAAAUUUGUACACCUCCUAACUUUUGAAAAGAAAUAAUAAAACUAAUUAAUUAAUGUUUAUUUUAUUCAUUAAUAUAUCAUAAUCCUACAUGUAUUUUAUUUGUUAUUUUUUUUUAUUUAAAAAGAUAGGAGGGUGGAUGAAACUCAAAUAAAUUUUUAGCCUAUCCUGAUCUUUCAAGUUUCUUAUUUAGGUGGCCAGCUGAAAAAAAUUACUUGAAAGCUACUCCAUCAAUUUAACAAAUUUUAUUUACUUAAUUAAUGGAGGUGUAGAAAAUAAAAGUAUCUGCAAGUACAUUGCAAUAGUGAAAGCAAUGUACCGGUGUUGGAACAUAACUGAACCCUGGUUACCUAUCACAUAUUUUAAGUUUUAACUUUGGUAGUUCACGGAUCGGUUUCUACUUCCACGAACAAUUAAUGUAGGAAAUGAGUUUUCUUUAUUUUUUAAUGAGUAUUUAUAGACCCCGAUUAAAUAUUGGAAUCUAUCUAUCUAUAUAUAUAUAAAGUUAGGACUUGAGGAGGUGAUGUAGCAUCACCAUUUCUCAUCUUUGUAUAUUCUCUAUUAUCUAAUAAAUAGAGAAAUUUUCUUUUACAUUUAGUUUUUCAUCUUCUCAUAAUUAAUUUGAUUGUCAUUACACAAUAACAAUUAUGUAAAGAUUUUAAUGAGACAUAUUUUUUGUAAUGAACAAGGAGGAGUAUUAUGAAUUUAUUAAAAUAAAUGUAGAUGUUCAUAACAUAUAUCUCUUAGUCUCCUCACUAUCUCUCAUUAGCAACAUUUAGCUUCCCUAUAACUCCCACUAUCUCAUAAGGAAUUAUGAUCCAUAAUUUUUCAUUAAUUUCAUGGAGUGAUUAUGUAACUAUAAAAGAAGAGCUCAUCUUUUUGUUUUGUACACACACAAUUGGAAUGAAUAAAAUCACUCUAUAAUAUAUUCUCUCAUUUUAUUCUUUAUUUUGCGUUGCUUCUUUAUUUGUAUUGCUGGCUAAUAGUUUUUAUUUUUAUUUUUUAUAAGGUUGCCUCAUCUUAAAAAAAAAUCAAUUCAUAUUUUUUAUCAGUUUCAUCAAGUGUAAAGUAAGAAAAAAAUAUAAUACUAAUUUUUUUUUUCAAAUAAAUGUAGAUGUUCAUAACAUAUAUCUCUUAGUCUCCCAACUAUCUCUCAUUAGCAACAUUUAGCUUCCCUAUAACUCCCACUAUCUCAUAAGGAAUUUUGAUCCAUAAUUUUUCAUUAAUUUCAUGGAGUGAUUAUGUAACUAUAAAAUAAGAGCUCAUCUUUUUUGUUUUGUACACACAUAAUUGGAAUAAAUAAAAUCACUCUAUAAUAUAUUCUCUCAUUUUAUUCUUUAUUUGUAUUGCUGGCUAAUAGUUUUUAUUUUUAUUUUUUAUAAGGUUGCCUCAUCUUAAAAAAAAAUCAAUUCAUAUUUUUUAUCAGUUUCAUCAAGUGUAAAGUAAGAAAAAAAUAUAAUACUAAUUUUUUUUUUCAAAUAAAUGUAGAUGUUCAUAACAUAUAUCUCUUAGUCUCCCCACUAUCUCUCAUUAGCAACAUUUAGCUUCCCUAUAACUCCCACUAUCUCAUAAGGAAUUUUGAUCCAUAAUUUUUCAUUAAUUUCAUGGAGUGAUUAUGUAACUAUAAAAUAAGAGCUCAUCUUUUUUGUUUUGUACACACAUAAUUGGAAUAAAUAAAAUCACUCUAUAAUAUAUUCUCUUAUUUUAUUCUUUAUUUUGCGUUGCUUCUUUAUUUGUAUUGCUGGCUAAUAGUUUUUUUUUUUUUUUUUUAUAAGGUUGCCUCAUCUUAAAAAAAAAUCAAUUCAUAUUUUUUAUCAGUUUCAUCAAGUGUAAAGUAAGAAAAAAAUAUAAUACUAAAUUUUUUUUUCAAAGCCGCGUGAAGCGCGGUUCUAUUUUCUAGUAUAUAAUAAAAGAGAAACUGACAUAGAAAUGAGAAAGAUAUUUGGAGGAGGCAAAAAAAAAAAAAAAAAAUGCAACAGAGAAUUAGAUCAGCAACACAAGUAACUAAUUCAUCUAUACAUCAUAAUCCUAUUUGUAUCUUCUUCCUUCUUCUAAUUUACAUAUAAAUUUGGUUAGAUAAAACAUAUUUUAAUACUUGGUCACAAGUGGUGGAUAUAGAAAAGGGUAAUUUUCAGUUUCAUCACCUGAGGUUUGGGGUCCCUUCAGUUAGAUAGAUUCUAUGAGGGUAUCUCCACUUUGCACUCCUACCGUUCGUAUAAUGUUUAGUAUAAGUUUAGUUUACGAGAAUAAAUAAGUAAUUGCAUGAUAAAUUAUUAAAUAUUAAGAUAAUUUUGAAUUUUUACACUCUGCAAACUGGAACCUGUUGAAACAUUGUGGUGCUCGCUAGCCAAUAAUCAAAAAUCAAACGACACCCAUUUUGAAGAAACCCUAAGACAAAAUCAAACGACACCCAUUUCAAGCUUAUUAACUAGAGAGAUUUCGAAGAAACCCUAAGUCAAAAUCAAACGACACCCAUUUCUCAUUCCACUCUCCUCGAACUCGAAUCCCUCUUACAAUCGAUUGAUCCAGACACCCUUUACCGAUUCACCGAUCAACUCUCCUCCAAAAAAACUCUCUUUAUCCUCUCUCAUUCCUCCAAUUUCUUGCGCCAUGGAUGCGGGCCCCACCAAUAUCUCCCUCUUGGCCUCCAAAAUUUACCUUGCAUUGCUUCUCUCCCCGAACUCCCCUGUCUUCACUUUGUUCACUCCCAUGGCGUUCCUCUCCCUUCGCCGCUCCCUCAAGAGUUUUAAGCGCGUGUCUGAUAGCGGGUCCCACUCUAGUGUUAACCACAAAAGAAAAGGUGGUGGCAGGCGGGUUCAGCGGGCGAAUGAAUUUAACGAGGAUGAGAGCGAGGGUGGAUUUGAUGCUAGGAGUUUGUGUUUGGUUGUUGAGAAGUUGGAAUUUGUUGUGGGGUUGGUUUAUUUGAAUAGAUUUCUAGAUUGUUUGAAGUCUUUGAUACAGACUGUUGUUGAGAUUCUGGUCUCUUUGCUUGAAUUGGGAGGUUAUGAGAAAUUGAAUGUUUGUUUUCAGGGAUUUUGAUUAAGUUGUUGAGGGGGGAGCAUGGUGAUGUGAUGAGUACAACUGCAUAGGUUUUGAAGUCAUUAGUGCCAUUGAUUUUGAUGGGCAAAUGUCAAGCGAGGAGUUUUGCAUUAGGAUUUUUGAUGAAUGGAGUGAUGGGUGUGGCUAAAGAGAUCGACGGGGUCAAGAAGGCAGUUGUGAAUUUGCCGAAGUACUUGGUGAACAAGGCCCUGGAGAAGGCCGAGCUGAGGGGAUUAGCUGUGGAGGCAAUUAUGGAGAUUGUUAAAGCAAUGGAGGUUGAGGAUCAAAUGGGGUUUGUUGAAUAUACUGUUAAAGCUGACUAAAGGGAAGGCUAAUCUUAGCCUAGUUGCAGUUGAUCUGAUAUUAAUGCUAAUGACGUCGAUGAGAGAUCCAUUGAAUCUCUCGUUUACGACAUUCAGUUUAGUUAAUAAGCUUGAAAAAAAAAAAAAAGGGGCUCCAGUUGGUUAUUAAAAUAGUUUUAUUGAUGCAAGGGUGUUUUAGUCAUUUAAUCAGUCAAUUAACAGUCAAAUAAAUGUUAUCCUAACGGUAGGGGUGUAAAGUGGAGAUACACUCAUACAAUCUAUCAAAGUGAAAGGACCCCAAAUCUCAGGGGAGGAAACCGAAAAUUACCCAUAUAGAAAAUUAAUUUAGAGGGGGUAAUACCGUAACGAAAAAUAAUGAUUCAUAAUUAAAAUCAACCCCAACAUCAAAACUUAUUUACAAGAUCACCCCCAGUCAAAGGUAAUUUUUCCUAAAAACUAAUACGAAAUUAAAUAAAUUUAACUUUUAGUGGGUUCAAUUGCCCACGCAUUCUGAACGUAGAUCCACCCCUGGCCCCGACUGAAGCAUUUUUUACAAUAUGUACUCUGUUUAUCAGCAGGAACAACCUUCCACUUUAAAUUAAAAUUUUCACUUAAAAAUGAUUAAGGUUAAUGAGGUUAGUAACAAAAAUGAGUUUAAUUAGAGAAUAUUAUAAGAGAAAUUCUAUUUUUUGACUUUUAAUAAAUUAAAAUAUAUUAAAAUAUUAUUAAUUGGUGGUGGUUUCACAUCAAAUUAAGACAUGACACCUAAUUUAUGAGGUGGAGACAAUCGGCUUAAACUAUUUUAAUGCAUUUAAAAUUUGUACUAAUGACUAUCAUUCUUUGUCCUAAUUAAUACGAUAAUUAAUAACAUACAAUUGAAAUAAUUAAUAUUAGCACUUGGCAAUAAAUAAAGCUCUUGUGCUUGAAUCGGCGCACAUGAUCAUUUCAUUCCUUUAUUUACUUUGCUACCACAGAUUUUGAGGCAUUAAAACUAAAUAAUAAUUGAAUAUGGCUUUGUGCGUCGAUGACGCCAGCAACAAGGGGACCGCAAUUAUCACUUUUUAAGUUGCUACUAAAAUUGAUUUUAGUAGUGAUAUGAUUAUUGCAGUGUUUUUAUUUUUUAUAAUAAAAUUAAGUCGAUUUGUUAUAAUAAACUUAGUUGAGUUUAAUGGUAUUAUUACAGAAAUUAAAGUCAUUAAAUAUUUUAAUAUUUUUAUCGUAAGCAUUGACAUGGUAUUUAUUUAUUUAUUGUAUGAUGGAUUUUAAAAUUUAUAAAAUUAUUUGUUAUUAAAUUACCCCCAGAUGCUACAUCACCUGAAACUUAAUAAAGGGAACGUAGCAUUGCCAUUACUCAACAUUCACUCUUAUGACUUUAUGACAUUAGAAUUAAAAUCUUUCGUACAUUUAAUUUGUUUGCUUCCAAAUUAAUCUUUAAUAAAUAUUUUUUUCACAUUAUCAUCAAUGGAAAAAACUCCAACGAAAAUAACUACACAAGAACAAUCUAUGCUAGUAUUAUAUGCCACGAUAUCUAUAACUUUGUCAGGAUCGAUCAUUCUAAUUUUUACGCAGAACUUUUUGUCAAUCGACAAACACCUCACAGAGCUUGUCACUUGUCAGCCGCAUUAUUACGAUGUAAAAUUGUACCGGAAUAUCUUGAAUUAUUAGUAGAAUAACGAAGACUAUUUGGAGCAAUAAAAGAAUCCAGCUGUGGUGCCACAAUUAUAUGGUACCACAGCUGGAUCUAACCAUUAAAUUUAGCUCUGGUGACAAUUGUGGGUUAGAUCCAAUGGUUGGAUCCAUCUGUGGUACCAUACAACAGUGGUACCACAGAUUUGUCCGCAAUAAAAACAAAUAACGCAGAUGAAAACAAUGGCUAAAAUUAUGUAAGUGAGCCCCAAAGUUUUUGCUAUUUCCAGGAAAUCCCAAAUUUGAUUGGACUAGAGGGAGGCAGGUAAGAAAUACAUUUUCUUCCUAGACAAUGACAGCUAUGACAUCAAGCCACUGCUAUUAUUAAUUAUCCCCUGGUCAUUACAGUUUGUUAAUAUUCAUUCUGAAACAGUAAAACAAAAACGAAAUUGAAUACAUCAACGAGACCGCAAUUAUCACUUGUUUAGUUGCGGUAUUUAACUUAAUUUUAAUCUAAUAUAUUUGUUAGUUAAACUUUUAAUAAUCAAAUAAUUUUGAUUUAAAAAUAAAGUUAUAGAAAUUAAUAAUUAUUAAAAAUUCACAAUUAAGGGAACGUUCAUCAAACACACAUAGCUAUUGUUUUCUCUAUAUAUUGCAGUGUGUACGAUAUUGAGGGUUGAAGUCCCAAGCAUGCUCUAAAAUCCAGAUAAUAUUUAGAUCCAAGCAAACUAGAGUAGUGAUUUAAUGAAAAUCAUAUGUAUUGAAAAAAAAUGAAAAGAGGUCAUAAACUAGAACAAAAAUAUAAUCAUAUUCAAGUAAACUUAAUAGAUAAACCCUAAGUUCGUGCACGAGAGUUGAACUCUAUGAAUUUUACUCAAUAAUUUGAUGCAUACAAAAUAUAUACGAGUUUAUGAGUGACGUAUAAGUACUAAAAGAGUUAAGUAAUAAGUAAAUAAAAUAAACCAAGUGGCAUGACAUUGAUUCAAUAUUAUUGUAUCAAUAUUUAUGAAAGAAAUUGUAUUAAAAUUAAAUUGUAUGUUGAGUAUUGAUCUUGUCGUCUCAUUAUGUUUAGAUAUCUUAAUAUUAAAUCGAUAUAUGUUGUAUCGUUGGUUGAUUAAAUGUCAUAUCAUUUAAAGUAUAUCCUUAACUAACUGAAUUAAUAGCAUAAAUAAUUUAUUUCAAGAAGUCUUUGACCAGGUAAUGUAAAUGAGAUUUGCAGCUUUGAGAAGAAACAUAAUAUUUCAAACGUAGAAUAUUAAAACGUAACUAUCAUAUUAUCAUUCUUGUUUUUUAAAUCUGAAUAAUUGAGAAUGCAAUUUUAGAAGUCAACUUUAAUGAGAUCGCAUACCAAUUCCAAUAUUUAAUCAAAUCUUGACCGUCCCUCAAUCAAUCAACGGUGCGAAACAAUUAGUGAAUCCACAUAUGAGCCAUGAUUAGUUGGUGGUGAUGAAGGCUGUUAUUGGCGGAGCUCAAAGUUAUUAUGUGCAUGUUGGGUGGAUAUCUCUAUUGAAAAUAUCUCUGAUAUUUCACUCGACAAACUUGUUAAUAUAAAAAAUCUAUGGUUUUGCCGUCUGUAAACUGUAGAAAAAAUUGACUCUACGUUAAUCUAAAUGUUUGAGGUGAUUAGAAAUUACCGACUAUAAAGGGGAAUAAUUUAUAGGUUGAUUGAUACAUCUCUAUUGAAAAUAUCUCUGACAUUUCACUCGACAAACUCAUUAAUAUAAAAAAUCUAUGGUUUUGCCAUCUGUAUACUGUAGAAAAAUUUGUCUAUACAUUAAUCUAGAUGUUGGAGGUGGUUAAUAUUUUAUGUAUUUCAUUAUCAAAUGCUGGCCGUUGGGACCCUAUCUACAUCUAUUAAUAAGAUUAACAGGUGCCAGACUAGGCCAUUACAAAUUAUCCCCUCAUCAGAUAUUUCGUUAAAAUUCAUUCUGAAACACUAAAACUAAAUAAUUGAAUAUGGCUUUGCGGGUCGAUGAUGCCAGCAGCAAUGAGACUGCAAUUAUCACUUGUUUAGUUUCUGUGCUUGCCGUGGUUUACUUCGCAUGGAAUGUGAAAAAAUCAAGGAAAGCAAAUGCUAAACUUCCACCAGGACCUCGCGGCUUGCCUGUAGUCGGAUACCUCCCAUUUCUCGGAACUACUGACUUGCACAAGAAAUUCACGGAAUUAUCCGGAGUUUAUGGUCCGAUCUUCAAGCUCUGGCUCGGAAACAAAUUAUGUGUCGUGGCGAGCUCACCUUCCCUAGUUAAACAAGUGGUUCGAGAUCAAGAUACAACAUUCGCCAACCGUGACCCGCCGAUCGCUGUACUAGCGUUCACCUAUGGUGGCAAUGAUAUUGCAUGGUCCAAUUACGGUCCCGAAUGGAGAAAUUUGCGCAAAGCUUUUGUGGGCAAGAUGAUGAGUAACGCAAGCCUUGAUGCUUGUUAUGCUCUAAGAAAACAAGAGGUUAAAAAUACUAUCAGGGAUUUGUACAACAACGACAACAAAAUUGGUAAGCCCAUCGACAUUGGUGAAUUGUCAAUUUCAACCUUGGUAUGUGUUAUUCAGAACAUGCUGUGGGGUGAAGCGCUUGAAACAAGAGAGGAAGGGAUCACUAAUCUUGGGGCUGAGCUAAAAUUUAAGCUGGCAGAACUCAUGGUCCUAAUGGGAACACCGAAUAUUUCGG
rnacentral:lncRNA from 1 species